rnacentral:rRNA from 1 species
GACGAACGCUGGCGGCGUGCUUAACACAUGCAAGUCGCACGCAGUGGCGAACGGGUGAGUAAUACGUGGGUAACCUGCCCUCCUUUUUGGGAUAAGCCUUGGAAACGGGGUGCAAUACCGACUAAAGGGGGCUGGGCUCGCGGCCUAUCAGCUUGUUGGUGGGGCGAUGGCAUACCAAGGCGGUGACGGGUAGCCGGCCUGAGAGGGUGACCGGCGACAGUGGGACUGGUAUACGGCCCAGACUACGACGGGGGUCAGCAGUGGGGGAUAUUGCACAAUGGGCGAAAGCCUGAGGCAGCGACGCCGCGUGGGGGGUGAAGGCUUUCGGGGUGUAAGCUUCUUUAGACAGGGACGGUACCUGUAGAAUAAGCGACGGCUAACUACGUGCCAGCAGCCGCGGUAAUAC